GACGGACGCUGGCGGCGUGCUUAACACAUGCAAGUCGAACGGAAAGGCCCCAGCUUGCUGGGGUACUCGAGUGGCGAACGGGUGAGUAACACGUGGGUGAUCUGCCCUGCACUCUGGGAUAAGCCUGGGAAACUGGGUCUAAUACCGGAUAGGACCGUGCUUUAGUGUGUGCGGUGGAAAGUUUUUCGGUGCAGGAUGAGCCCGCGGCCUAUCAGCUUGUUGGUGGGGUAAUGGCCUACCAAGGCGGCGACGGGUAGCCGGCCUGAGAGGGUGUACGGCCACAUUGGGACUGAGACACGGCCCAGACUCCUACGGGAGGCAGCAGUGGGGAAUAUUGCACAAUGGGCGCAAGCCUGAUGCAGCGACGCCGCGUGGGGGAUGACGGCCUUCGGGUUGUAAACCCCUUUCGGCAGGGACGAGGCUUUUGUGACGGUACCUGCAUAAGAAGCACCGGCUAACUACGUG
rnacentral:rRNA from 1 species